UAGUAGAGCACACCAGUAGCAAAUCAGGUGAUGCACCACCUUCAUUAGAUGCUUAGUGUGUUCAAGUUUCUUAAUCAAUGGUGGCUGCGGAAUCGGGAUGUGAUGUAGUUGGAGAAGAGUCGGUUGCAACACCUAACAAAAUCAUUAAGCGUUGCAUUAGCCAAAGAGAAGCCAUGUG